AGCGAUGAACCGCCGCCGCGGUAUCAUGGCGCGGCCAUGGUACUGAGGAAAGUCCGGGCUCCGCAGGGCAUGAUGCCGGCUAACGGCCGGGGGAGCCGCGCUGUUGUUUCGACAGCGGUGUGGCUUUACAGACAGCGCAACAGAAAGUAUACCGCCGUUCCGGCGCUUGGGCGGCGGAACGGUAAGGGUGAAACGGCGGGGUAAGAGCCCGCCGCGGGACUGGCGACAGUUCUGGCAAGGCAAACCUCAUCAGGAGCAAAGCUAAACAGCGGUUGGGUGCCCUCCCGGUAACCGCGGGUAGGCUGCGUGGAAGCCGCCGGUAACGGCGGUUCAAGAUAGAUGGCGGCGCUUCCGAAAACUUUUCGGAAGGCACAGAAUCCGGCUUACGGUUCAUCGCUUUUU
rnacentral:RNase_P_RNA from 1 species